CCUUGACAUACUAAGAACUUUCCAGAGAUGGAUUGGUGCCUUCGGGAACUUAGAUACAGGUGCUGCAUGGCUGUCGUCAGCUCGUGUCGUGAGAUGUUGGGUUAAGUCCCGCAACGAGCGCAACCCUUUUCCUUAUUUGCCAGCGGGUCAUGCCGGGAACUUUAAGGAUACUGCCAGUGACAAACUGGAGGAAGGCGGGGACGACGUCAAGUCAUCAUGGCCCUUACGGCCAGGGCUACACACGUGCUACAAUGGUCGGUACAAAGGGUCGCUACCUCGCGAGAGGAUGCUAAUCUCAAAAAGCCGAUCGUAGUCCGGAUCGCAGUCUGCAACUCGACUGCGUGAAGUCGGAAUCGCUAGUAAUCGCGGAUCAGAAUGCCGCGGUGAAUACGUUCCCGGGCCUUGUACACACCGCCCGUCACACCAUGGGAGUUUGUUGCACCAGAAGUAGGUAGUCUAACCGCAAGGAGGACGCUUACCACGGUGUGGCCGAUGACUGGGGUGAAGUCGUAACAAGGUAGGCGUAGAUGA
rnacentral:rRNA from 1 species